UUAAGAUACUAAGAGCAUACGGUGGAUGCCUUGGCGAUAUCUGCCGACGAAGGACGUGACAAGCUGCGAAAAGCUGCGGAGAGAUGCAAAUAAUCGGCGACCCGCAGACAUCCGAAUGGAGAAAUCCGGCUGUGAUGAUGCACAGCCAUCCAUGCCCAAGAGCAUGAGAAGGGAACCGGGCGAACUGAAACAUCUAAGUAACCCGAGGAAAAGAAAUCAAACGAGAUACCCCAAGUAGCGGCGAGCGAACAGGGAAGAAGCCCAAACCGGUGAAGGAAACUUUACCGGGGUUGAGGACCAUCAGACCCGCGAAGAACCUUAGCCGAAACUGUUGGGAAACAGUGCCGAAGACAGUGAAAGCCUGGUAGGCGAAAAAGAGAAACGCGGAGAUGGCACCAGAGUACCGCGGGACACGAGAAAUCCCGUGGGAAGCAGGGGGGACCACCCUCCAAGGCAAAACACAGAUAUCGACCGAUAGCGCAUAGUACCAUGAGGGAAAGGUGAAAAGCACCCCGGGAGGGGAAUGAAAGAGAACCUGAAACCGUAUGUUUACAAGCAGUCGGAGACCGCUUAAUAAUAAGGUCGACGGCGUGCCUAUUGAAGAAUGAACCGGCGAGUUACGAAGCCUGGCAAGGUUAAGCAGGAAAUGCGGAGCCGAAGCGAAAGCGAGUCUUAAGAGGGCGCAAGUCAGGAAGCGUAGACCCGAAACCACAGUGAUCUACCCAUGUCCAGGUUGAAACACAGGUAAAAAUGUGUGGAGGACCGAACCUAUAUCCGUUGAAAAGGGUUAGGAUGAGGUGUGGGUAGGGGUGAAAUUCCAAUCGAACGUGGAGAUAGCUGGUUCUCCCCGAAAUAGCUUUAGGGCUAGCCUCAGGGAAAAGAUUGCAGGCGGUAGAGCACUGAUCAGGAGAGGGACCUACCCGGUUACCAAACCCAGUCAAACUCCGAAUGGCUGCAAUCAUACCUGGGAGUCAGACUGCGACUAAUAAGGGCCGCAGUCAAAAGGGAAACAGCCCAGACCAUCAGCUAAGGUCCCCAAUGCCGUGCUAAGUGGAAAAGGAUGUGGCAUUUCAUAAACAACCAGGAUGUUGGCUCAGAAGCAGCCACCAUUUAAAGAGUGCGUAAUAGCUCACUGGUCGAGAGACGCUGCGCCGAAAAUGUCCGGGGCUCAAGCACGGAACCGAAGCUAUGGCAUGAUAGCAAUAUCAUGGGUAGGGGAGCGUUCUUAUAAGGAAGAAGCAUGACCGGAAGGACAUGUGGACAAAUAAGAAGUGAGAAUGCCGGUAUGAGUAUCGAAAAGAAAGGUGAGAAUCCUUUCCACCGAAAGCCCGAGGGUUCCUGAGCAACGAUCGUCGACUCAGGGUAAGUCGGGACCUAAGCCGAGGCGAGAAGCGUAGGCGAUGGACAACAGGUUGAAAUUCCUGUACCGGAUCAAGUCGAUUGAGCGAAGGAGCGACGCAGGAGGGCACAUGAUCGCGCGGCUGGAAGAGCGCGUCCAAGUGCGUAUGUUGCUGCAGAGGAAAACCCCUGCAGCUAAAAGCAGAGACAUGAUGGGGAGUUAAAGGAAACUUUGACGAACUCAUGGAUCCCACACUGCCAAGAAAAACUUCUAGCGAGACAAGAUCCGCCCGUACCGUAAACCGACACAGGUAGGCGGGGAGAGAAUCCUAAGGUGCGCGGGAAAACCCUCGUUAAGGAACUCGGCAAAUUGCAUCCGUAACCUAGGGAGAAGGAUGGCCCCCGGUCAGUGAAGAGCAGAAACGCUCAGAGCUAAAAGGGGCGGCAGAAAAGAGGCCCAAGCAACUGUUUACCAAAAACACAGGUGCCUGCGAAAGCGAAAGCUGAAGUAUAGGUGCUGACGCCUGCCCGGUGCCGGAAGGUUAAGGAGAGAAGUUAGCGAAAGCGAAGCAUCGAACUGAAGCCCCGGUGAACGGCGGCCGUAACUAUAACGGUCCUAAGGUAGCGAAAUUCCUUGUCGGGUAAG
rnacentral:rRNA from 1 species